rnacentral:lncRNA from 1 species
CUACCUAUCUGUCUAUUCAAUCUCAAUGUAGGAGUUAAACUCACAUUUGUUUUAAUAAUUGAUAUUGAUUUUCUUCUGCCCAUUUAUGCUUUCUUUAAAAAAUCUUUGCUUUUCUAACUUUCAGUAUAGAGACUUCAUUUUUGUGUUUUCCAAUGACUUAGAGGGUCAUGUUUUAUAUCUCAUAAUAUUAUCCUUUAUGUUGUUCAAAAUCAUUCUUUAACUUCUAAGUCAAUAAAUAAACUAGUUUAAUGUGAUGCCCCAUAUUUGAGAUAGGAUAUUCAGAACACUUCUAAUUCUGUUUCUUUCUUCAACCUCUUAUCACUAUAAUGAACAUUUCUAUGUAAGUAUUUGCUACUCCAUUUACCCAUCAU